rnacentral:rRNA from 1 species
UGAACGCUGGCGGCAUGCUUUACACAUGCAAGUCGAACGGCAGCGCGGGGGCAACCCUGGCGGCGAGUGGCGAACGGGUGAGUAAUAUAUCGGAACGUACCCAAGAGUGGGGGAUAACGUAGCGAAAGUUACGCUAAUACCGCAUACGAUCUACGGAUGAAAGCAGGGGACCGCAAGGCCUUGUGCUCGUGGAGCGGCCGAUAUCUGAUUAGCUAGUUGGUAGGGUAAAGGCCUACCAAGGCAUCGAUCAGUAGCUGGUCUGAGAGGACGACCAGCCACACUGGGACUGAGACACGGCCCAGACUCCUACGGGAGGCAGCAGUGGGGAAUUUUGGACAAUGGGCGCAAGCCUGAUCCAGCAAUGCCGCGUGAGUGAAGAAGGCCUUCGGGUUGUAAAGCUCUUUUGUCAGGGAAGAAACGGGUUUGGCUAAUAUCCCGUACUAAUGACGGUACCUGAAGAAUAAGCACCGGCUAACUACGUGCCAGCAGCCGCGGUAAUACGUAGGGUGCAAGCGUUAAUCGGAAUUACUGGGCGUAAAGCGUGCGCAGGCGGUUUUGUAAGUUUGUCGUGAAAGCCCCGGGCUCAACCUGGGAAUUGCGAUGAAGACUGCAAGGCUUGAAUCUGGCAGAGGGGGGUAGAAUUCCACGUGUAGCAGUGAAAUGCGUAGAGAUGUGGAGGAACACCGAUGGCGAAGGCAGCCCCCUGGGUCAAGAUUGACGCUCAUGCACGAAAGCGUGGGGAGCAAACA